GUGAUGAAAAACGGCUUAUGAUCUGUGAAUAGUCCUAAACCAGGCUGA
rnacentral:snoRNA from 1 species